CCAUCCCUUCCCUUCCCAAACCCCAAACCCGAUCCACAGAUUCUACUGAGCCUCCAUCCAUGGUGGGCAGGGAUUCACCCGAGCCGAUCCUCGGGCGCCCAUGGCGGAAGCAAGGCCGCAGAAAGACCCUGGCAACCGCCAUUUGGCGCAGAGUCCACAAAACGAGCUCAUCUUCGCCGCCGCCCCCCUCAGCCGAACCUCCAGCCCUUCCCGACUCUCCCUUCGCCAACCUCGGCGGUGCCGAAAGAGCAGCCAUCCCCUCCAACACCCGCCGCCGCCGCCACACCUUCCGCGGAAAUUACGUUAGUUUCGAGAACGGAAACGGGAACGAGCAGAAGAUGGUAGAGAUAAUAAGGAGUGGGAAAUGUGAAAUGCAAGCAAAACACCCAUAGCAACGUGUGCAACCGGUUAGGAUUGAAGGGGAAAAACAACCUGCAGAAUUGCCGUCCGGUUUAAGACGGGCGGACAGCGCUUCUAGGGUGAGAGUCAAAGGACCGGCUUUGGAGUCGACAAGAAACCGGGAUCAAAAGACAGUGGAAUGAAGCCAAAAAUCCGAAUAAAACGCAGCCUUGGAAAGAAA